UUUAUUUUUAAGUAUUCGUCCGAAAUCGAAAUAUUUAUGUAUUGUACUAUGGCUGGCAAGCGAGCGGAAUGGGCACACACAACAGCGGUGCAAAAGAUUCUUCAAAUAAUGGAUUCGAGGGCGAGCGGUGAAGUAGGUGGUGUGGGUUGGCUCUGGCGAUUAGACUUUUGAGGUCGCAUAUAAAAAUAAGUCUCAUCAACAACAUAUGCGAAUAUGAGUACAUACAUACGCACACACAGAUGCUGCUACACAACAUUACGCACAAAACGCAUUUAAACGCAUAAGACAACGCACAACACGGACAUGAAAAAAACGUUCUCAAC